GAAAUGUUAGUCUAACUCAAAGACAGCUGAUUUCGACUCAGCAGAUUAUGAUUUACCCCAUAAUAUUUC
rnacentral:tRNA from 1 species